rnacentral:rRNA from 1 species
AAGGGCACCACAAGAACGCGUGGAGCAUGUGGCUUAAUUUGACUCAACGCAGGAAAUCUUACCGGGUCCGGACACACUGAGGAUUGACAGGUGUUACACUCAACACAUGCUUGCAUGUGUUGAANUAAAUAUGCUAGUCCUUUCAUGAUUAUGUGAUAGGUGGUGCAUGGCCGUUCUUAGUUCGUGGAGUGAUCUGUCUGCUUAAUUGCGUAUCACUAAACGUGCAACACGUAUAUGUGUGUGUGUGUCGAUUAUAAUAUAUUUAUAUAUUUUAUUGACCCUCAUACAUAUUAUGCGCGUUGAUAGCAACGAACGUGACCGUAACCUCUUGUUGCCUUUUUACACACACACAGUUCACGCUGUGUGUCAAAAAGUGCCAACUAGAGGGACCGCUGUUUCCUUUUUUAAACCAGAGGAAGGUUACGGCAAUAACAGGUCUGUGAUGCCCUUAGAUGUUCCGGGCCGCACACGUGCUACAAUGAUUAUUGCAGUGAGCAUCUAGAUUUAGACAAUAUUGUUUGUAUGCGAUGCUACAUAUCUCUCACGGUAUAUAGUUAUUGCGCACACAAUACUGCCUGCUUCGAAAGUUCGCGGGUAAUCAAUUAGCAACAAUGAUUUCCGUAUUAAGCACACAUAUAUGUGACAGUAUUACCCACACAGUACUUUGUGACUGUGUUGUGCGUAUUACUGCUCGCAUGUGCAAUUGUCAAUUCAUGGUGGGGACAGACUAUUGUUAAUUUUUAGUCUCGGUAUCAACUAGGAAUGCCUUGUACUGGUAGCUCAUCAAACUACCAGGAAUACGUCCCUGCCCUUUGUACACACCGCCCGUCGCUCUUACCGAUGAACUAUACUGUGAGUUUAUUGGACUACACACAUACACACUUCACUGUGUGUGUGAGUGCGGAAAAAUAAACGAACAGUGUGGUCUAAAGGAAAGAGAAGUCGAACAAGGC